UCUGCCCCUACAUAACAUAUUAAUAUCAUGAGAAGUUCAUAAAAACAUUAGUGUUUCUUUUCAAUAAUUCUGAACUAUAUUCAACACAUAACAUGAGUUUUCUUUCCAAUUUUCUUUUUCUCUCUUCCUUUCUUUGUUUGUUUCUUUCUUUCUUUUUUCUCAUUUUUCUAGGGUUGUCACUGGAGCUCAGUGUCUGCAGUAGGAAUCCACUGAUCUUGGCAGCCAUCUGCUUCACUGCUUAUGAAGUAUCCUCUCUGCAGAAUUAAUUUACCAGUGCUGUGUUGAGACUAACAGAAUAGCCUGGAAGAAACUGCCAAGAGCCAGUUCUCCAUGUGUCACGUAUACCUCUGAGAAUCUGAUACUGCUUAAGCACUUCCAGGAAUGAAGAACUUAUUAUGUGAUAAAAACAUCAUUCAUUUUGGAACUGUU